UUGUAAUGUACAUGCUAGUCCACAAACUUCUCAUGGAACAAAAAUACAAAAGCUUAUGUUCUUUCUAUUCAAAUGCAUUACUACUAGUAGUCCUCUUAAAAAUCAUAGGAUGAUAAAUUGACACCUUUGUCUAUGAAUCUAUGAUGAUUUAAAUAUUGUUAUAUCAGACGGUUAUAACUCAUCCAUUUUUUCCACAAUAUUGCCAAACCCCCCACUUCAAAACUCAGUUCCAACGUGCUUCAACACCAAACCCAUUCAUUUCCAUGUGACUAUGUAGCACAAUCACUACAAAAACAAGCAAACUCCCAUCAUUAACAAUAAAAAAACUCAACAACCUCAAAAUCCUCAAACCCACCGUAAACCACCGCAAUGACUUCACCAACAACAACCUUAAUCCUCGCUGUUCUAUUAUUCCACUUCACAUCAACACCAACAUCAACAUCAUCAGACUCAAACCACUGCGGUCCCACAAAAAACCGGGACCCACAAAACCUCCAACCCAACAAAAUCACAGUACUCAUAAACGGUUUCUCCGAAACCCGCAUUCCCAUCCUUCAAUCAAUAGCCGCCACGUACUCACUAUCACCAUUAGUAUCCUCUGUGCUCGUCCUCUGGGGAAACCCAUCUACACCUCCACGUGUCAUUGAUCAAUUGGCUCUCAACCUCUCGUUCUCUUCUGAUUCGAUUUCGUUACAUCGAAACCCUUCUAGUAGUUUAAACGAUCGUUUUCUUCCUCGUUUAAACGACAUAAGUACCGAUGCCGUUUUGGUUUGUGAUGACGAUGUUGAGGUAGAUGGUGCGUCGUUUGAGUUUGCGUUUCGGGUUUGGUCAGCGAACCGGGAGCGUAUUGUUGGGGUUUUUGCUAGGUCGCAUGAUGUAGAUAUGAACCGGAAGGAGUGGGUUUAUACGGUUCACCCGGACCGGUACUCGAUCGUGCUCACCAAGUUCAUGUUGCUCAAAAGCGAGUAUUUGUUCAGGUAUAGCUGCGAAGGUGGGCCUCGCAUGGCCCAAAUGAGAAAAAUUGUUGAUUCGGUUCGAAAUUGCGAGGACAUACUCAUGAAUUUUGUGGUGGCUGAUUCAACCAAUGUUGGUCCUAUUUUGGUUGGUGCAAAAAGAGUGAGGGAUUACGGUGAUGCACGAAACGAUGAGGGAAAGAUUAGCUUGGGUUUGAGUGGAAGAAAAGGGGAGCAUAGAAAAAAUAGAGGGGUGUGUAUAACUGAAUUUCAUAGGGCUUUGGGAAGAAUGCCUUUGAGGUAUAGUUAUGGUAAGAUUGUUGAUUCCAUUGGGGAACAAGGGUUGUGCCGCAAAGGUGGUAAAUUGGUGUUUUGUGAUCAAUGAAACUAAAUAUUAUUUACAAAACACAAAUCAGUAGCUUAGACAUCAUUAACUCAUGUUGUCCAAAAUCCAGUACCAAAGCAGGGAAAGAGAUCAGGAGAUCAUACUGAUCAUUGCAUUGAUUCCUAAACUGCACCAAUAAUGCUCAAACUCUACAACUAUUCCAUCUGGCGUAUGAUCAUGAUUAAUUGCAGAAGUGAGUGUUGGAUAUUCAAGAAUCAUCAAAUGUGACAUAUCCCAGAUGGGUCUGCAUCCAUAAACUUCAGAAUUC